GUUUAUCGAGUAAAGGCUCCGGCGCUUUGAGAGGGACCUGCGGCCCAUCAGCUAGUUGGUAGGGUAAUGGCCUACCAAGGCAAAGACGGGUAGGGGGCGUGAGAGCGUGACCCCCCACACUGGCACUGGGACACGGGCCAGACUCCUACGGGAGGCAGCAGUGAGGAAUAUUGCGCAAUGAGCGAAAGCUAGACGCAGCAACGCCGCGUGGGUGAUGAAGGCCUUCGGGUCGUAAAACCCUUUUCUGGGGGAAGAGUAAGGACGGUACCCCAGGAAUAAGCCUCGGCUAACUAUGUGCCAGCAGCCGCGGUAAUACAUAGGAGGCAAGCGUUAUCCGGAUUUACUGGGCGUAAAGAGCGUUGAGGCGGCUUCGUAAGUUGGACGUGAAAGCUCCCGGCUUAACUGGGAGAGGCCGUUCAAUACUGCGGGGCUUGAGGACAGCAGAGGGGGGUGGAAUUUCCGGUGUAGUGGUGAAAUGCGUAGAUAUCGGAAGGAACACCAGUGGCGAAGGCGGCCCCCUGGGCUGCUCCUGACGCUGAAGGCGAAAGCUAGGGUAGCGAACGGGAUUAGAAACCCCGGUAGUCCUAGCCGUAAACGAUGGAUACUAGGUGUAGGAGGUUAAAAUUCCUUCUGUGCCGGAGCUAACGCGUUAAGUAUCCCGCCUGGGGAGUACGGUCGCAAGGCUAAAACUCAAAGGAAUUGACGGGGGCCCGCACAAGCAGCGGAGCGUGUGGUUUAAUUCGAUGCAACGCGAAGAACCUUACCAGGGCUUGACAUGUAGGUAGUAGUGAAGCGAAAGCGGAACGAUCCUUCGGGAAGCCUACACAGGUGCUGCAUGGCUGUCGUCAGCUCGUGCCGUGAGGUGUUAGGUUAAGUCCUGUAACGAGCGCAACCCCUGCCGUUAGUUACAAGUGUCUAACGGGACUGCCCGGCAAAACUGGGAGGAAGGUGGGGAUGACGUCAAGUCAGCAUGGCCUUUAUGUCCUGGGCUACACACACGCUACAAUGGCCGGUACAAUGGGUUGCCAAGCCGCGAGGCGGAGCCAAUCCUCUAAAGCCGGUCUCAGUUCGGAUUGUAGGCUGCAACCCGCCUGCAUGAAGUUGGAGUUGCUAGUAACCGCAGGUCAGCCACACUGCGGUGAAUACGUUCCCGGGCCUUGUACA
rnacentral:rRNA from 1 species